rnacentral:rRNA from 1 species
UACGUAGGGCGCAAGCGUUAUCCGGAAUUAUUGGGCGUAAAGAGCUCGUAGGCGGUUUGUCGCGUCUGCCGUGAAAUACCGAGGCUCAACCUCGGCACUGCCGUCGAUACUGCUAUGGCUAGAGUGUGUCAGAGGAUGGUGGAAUUCCCGGUGUAGCGGUGAAAUGCGUAGAGAUCGGGAGGAACAUCAGUGGCGAAGGCGGCCAUCUGGGACAACACUGACGCUGAGGCACGAAAGCGUGGGGAGCAAACAGGG